CGAAAAAGUUGGGUUAAAUUCCCGCAACGAGCGCAACCUUGGCCUUUAGUUGCCAUCAUUUAGUUGGGCACUUUAGAGGGACUGCCGGUGAUAAGCCGAGGGAAGGUGGGGAUGACGUCAAGUCAUCAUGCCCUUACGGGCUGGGCUACACACGUGCUACAAUGGCGGUGACAGAGGGCAGCGAUGUCGCGAGGCAAAGCUAAUCCCUAAAAGCCGUCUCAGUUCGGAUUGCACUCUGCAACUCGGGUGCAUGAAGUUGGAAUCGCUAGUAAUCGCAGAUCAGCACGCUGCGGUGAAUACGUUCCCGGGCCUUGUACACACCGCCCGUCACACCAUGGGAGUUGGUUCUACCCGAAGCCGGUGCGCUAACCGCAAGGAAGCAGCCGACCACGGUAGGGUCAGCGACUGGGGUGAAGUCGUAACAAGGUAA
rnacentral:rRNA from 1 species